rnacentral:lncRNA from 1 species
UACUUUUGAGGUUAUCGUCAGUUGACGCAUGCGUACAGUAGCUGUAGUGUUUAUUUCCAGUACAUCCUUAUCUGUUUAUUGUAGCUACUGUUUUAUUUACCUGCAUCUAUACUUGUCAGCUCCCUACUUAUCAGCAUCUUGCUACUAUAGUUUAGCUGCAUGUAUACUUUCAGUUGUUCAUUACAGUAGCCGUAGUUGUGCUUUCAUUUAUAGUUCUAUCUUUUUCGUUCAUUAUUGUUGCUACUGUAUUUAGUAUUUCACUUACCCAUAUUGUUGUUUAUCUCUUCCUGAUCCGGUGAGUACUCCUCGCCUUCAUCGGCUUGCGGUACCCACUGGGAGGGGAGACAUGUUUACAUGUUCUCACCUCCCCCACCAUUUUUCAGAUAUUGCGGGCGGUAAGGUUGAGACGAGACGUGAGACACGUUCGUAAUGGUCGCUAGAGCUUCCGACCCAGUUUGUUGGUUUAGUUCCUACCCUGUUUACUUUUGUUAUUAAUAGCUUUAAUAUUUCAUGGUUCAGUUGGUUUAUAUUAUUCGAAUUCAUGUGAUUUUGAAUAAACUAUAGAACUCGUGGAUUUUGUGAAAAGGAAAAAUGGUUUUUCUACCCCUCGUGGUAGCGUGUUCGUAAAAAGAAAAGGUUUCCGUGUGGGAAGCAGCUUUCAAAAGAGUUUUCUCGUGGCUUUUAUGUUUAAACACUGAAUGAUAAAUAUCUGGUGAAUGGUGAAUGAAUGUUGAGUAUUGUAUAUUCAUGUAUUGUGGUUAUAUUCUGGUUAUACUCUGUUUGUACUU